rnacentral:rRNA from 1 species
UGGUGGGUAGUUUGACUGGGGCGGUCUCCUCCCAAAGCGUAACGGAGGAGCACGAAGGUUAGCUAAUCCUGGUCGGACAUCAGGAGGUUAGUGCAAUGGCAUAAGCUAGCUUGACUGCGAGCGUGACGGCGCGAGCAGGUGCGAAAGCAGGUCAUAGUGAUCCGGUGGUUCUGAAUGGAAGGGCCAUCGCUCAACGGAUAAAAGGUACUCCGGGGAUAACAGGCUGAUACCGCCCAAGAGUUCAUAUCGACGGCGGUGUUUGGCACCUCGAUGUCGGCUCAUCACAUCCUGGGGCUGAAGUAGGUCCCAAGGGUAUGGCUGUUCGCCAUUUAAAGUGGUACGCGAGCUGGGUUUAGAACGUCGUGAGACAGUUCGGUCCCUAUCUGCCGUGGGCGCUGGAGAAUUGAGGGGGGCUGCUCCUAGUACGAGAGGACCGGAGUGGACGCAUCACUGGUGUUCGGGUUGUCAUGCCAAUGGCACUGCCCGGUAGCUAAAUGCGGAAGAGAUAAGUGCUGAAAGCAUCUAAGCACGAAACUUGCCCCGAGAUGAGUUCUCCCUGAGACUUUAAGUCUCCUGAAGGAACGUUAA